rnacentral:rRNA from 1 species
AUGAGUCGUCCUGAUGGCAUCAACAUCCCCGAUGGCAAGUUCUACCUAGGAGAUGCUAGUUAUGCAUGACAGCCAUGUGUUCUUCCAUCCUUUAGGAAAACCAGGUACCAUCUGAACGAGUUCGUUGGUAGGAACUACCAUAGGACUCCACAGGAGUUGUUUAAUCUCAAACACUCCAGCCUUAGAAUUACUGUUGAGAGGGGAUUUGGAGCUCUAAAGAACAUGUUUAAGAUCUUAGAUCAGAAGCCAUUCCACACUUUCCCCACUCAGGUUAAGCUUGUUCUUACUUAUUGCAUUCUGCAUAACUGGAUCAUGCAAUGGUUUUGUGAUGAACUGGUGCCCGAGGAGGAAGAGGUGACGCCUGACGAUGUUGUCAGCUCCGGCCAUGAUGUGGAGGCAUUUGACAAUGAAGCUUGGAAGAACAAAAUGAUGGAGUGGGCACAUGCAAUGUCAGAUAACAGAUGUCAAACAAUGAUCUGA